AGCGAACGCUGGCGGCAGGCUUAACACAUGCCAGUCGAGCGGGCACCUUUCGGGGUGUCCGCGGCGGACGGGUGAGUACCGCGUGGGAACGUGCCCUCUGGUUCGGAAUAACUCAGGGAAACUUGAGCUAAUACCGGAUACGCCCUUUUGGGGAAAGGCUUGCUGCCGGAGGAUCGGCCCGCGUCUGAUUAGCUAGUUGGUGAGGUAACGGCUCACCAAGGCGACGAUCAGUAGCUGGUCUGAGAGGAUGAUCAGCCACACUGGGACUGAGACACGGCCCAGACUCCUACGGGAGGCAGCAGUGGGGAAUAUUGGACAAUGGGCGCAAGCCUGAUCCAGCCAUGCCGCGUGAGUGAUGAAGGCCUUAGGGUUGUAAAGCUCUUUUAUCCGGGACGAUAAUGACGGUACCGGAGGAAUAAGCCCCGGCUAACUUCGUG
rnacentral:rRNA from 1 species